AACCCUGGAUGGGGUAUCACUUGGCUUGUCCAUCAAUAAAGAGUGCAGCUAUCUGCAUGAACUGAUGCAAACUGCAGGACACAGUGAAUAUUGACACCUCGAAUGCACAUUGCAGCUUCAGGAUCCCAUUGUUCUGGGAUCCUGUCCAGUCGAGAGGCG
rnacentral:rRNA from 1 species